UCUGUAUUAGCUCAGUUGGUAGAGCACUGCACCGCAAUCGCAGGGCCGCAGGUUUCGAUUCCUGCAAGCUGUU